CCACUCAACCAUAAAUUGAUUACAGAAUGUAACUGGAGAAGAAAUAAAAAAAGAAAUUUAAGACAUUUUUUCAGCUUUCCUUUUCUUAAGCAGGCACAUCUACAUGACAGGCAAUGACAAAAAAGAUGCUGGAAAUGUCUUCUGAGAAUGCAUUUUGCUGACAUGAAAGAUGUGCAAUACAGAACUGAACUCUUGCUUCACACAGAUCUUGAAUCAAUUAAUCCUUCACCACCUCCAUCCUUCUCCAUCAAGCAAAAUCAACACACAUCAAUGCCAAGAAACAUAGCUCUCUUUUGCUGCAUUUUUGAUAUAGCAAAUACACAUCAUUAGUGUAUCACCACCGAGAAGUAGCAGCUGCUCAACAUCUCCCAGAUCCUUUUCUGUUAUCUGCCCUACAACCAGGGGAUUGGAUUUAUGUUAAGUCCUUCUCUAGAAAAACAGUGCUCCAGCUGCGCUGGAAGGGGCCCUUCCUGGUCCUUCUGACAACGUCAUCUGCUGUGUGACUGCAAGGAUCUCCAACUUGGAUCCACAUUUCACAUGUCAAAAAAGUUGUGCUGUCUGAAGAUCAAUAGCCUUUACCUUUUUCAACUCCAGAUUCUCCUCCCAUUGCUAUUCGUACUCGAAGUAGAACUGUUCCCGUACCUGAUGAUGCCUAACAUUUACCCUUUUGGAAAACUCAGAACUACUAACACUACGCAGACUCAACAACCAUUUCCACAAAAAUAUUGGACAGCCCUUUUGAUGAUCAUUCUUGUACUGUUAUUUUUAAUGUGGCCAUUUUUAUUUCCUGCUCCAUCAACACAUCACACCAAGCGAGCUAUUUGGCAUCCACCUUUCAACACCUAUCAAACUAUUAAAUUUGCCUAUGUAUCAUCCCUCAAUGUCUCUGACUGUUGGAUCUGUACUGCUUUACCUACUGUUCAUGGGGGAUUGAUGCUAAGUACAGUCCCUUUAGGGGUUAAUGAAACCUGGAUGAAUCUGAUCUAUGACACUUCAAAUGUCACUUCAAAAGACAGGAUAGCAUUACAUCUGUUUAACCAUUGAAAUGGAACUGUGUGUUUUCAGAAAUUUGGUAAAGUCAAGGUAGGAUGGAGUUUUUGUAAUGUGACAGUUCCCUACAGGUGUAACAAUAACUCCUCCUACUGUAACACAACCUAUGAUACAUUUUGUGAACUGGUGCAUAAAACAUACGAAGAGGUAAGAAAUAAUUCCGUUCUAUACCAACAUCUGGGAUUGAUCGAUAAGAAGGUGUUUCAUUCUGAACAAGGUUAUAUAAAUAGUAAUAUCACCACUAAGGUGGAAAAUUGCUACUUUGUGUGUGGUAGAAGAGCCUAUAAAUGGCUACCAGGAAACUGGUCUGGUAGCUGUUUCUUAGGUUAUUUAGUCCCAGCCAUUCAACAUACAUCUGCUUUACCUCAAGGAAAAUUCGGAAUGUUCAAGAGGUCAAAAAGCCUGCCAAUCUGGUAGGCCAAAUUGAUGCUUCAUGGAUUUAUCAAUAUUGACUUAGCUCAUGCUGACACCAAAGGACUAUCUCAUAUGGACUUGGGUGAUGACAUCAUAUCGUGGGCUGGUAUAAUUCCAGCAUACAGA